CUCAUUUAGUAAGGUCAGGAUUUGGUUAAACUUAUAGUCGAUCUGUAGCAGUAUUGGUGGUUAGGACAAGGGGAUAGGAUUAUAGGCAUGGGAUUAGAGCUUUGGCUGAGGAUGUUGAAGGUUACAGCCCUGAAAACAGGACCCUUAGUCCCCUUUACGGUAUGUAUCUCUAAAUCUAUCUCAUGGGAUACAAUACAAAACAUGGCCUUGUAAUGAUGUUCCUGUUAUAAAGUAAUCUAUAAUGUUGCUGGGAAGUUUUUAAUGAAACAGUCUUUAUACCUUAUAGUUAUACUUUUGUGAUGUGAUUACCAUAGAUAGACACUGUUCCAAUGGUAUAUCUAUCUAUUUUUUUGUACCUGCAUUUAAAAGCAGAAAGUAGUUUGGGAUGGGCCCCUCUGCCUCCAUGUCUGAAAAACAAAACUGACCAAAGUGUGUAAAGAGAGCACAGACCAAGGUGUGGUUGCAGAAUAAACAAAUUCUAAGCUACAGGGAACGGGGGCUAUUGAAUUAUGGAUGAGAUAAAUGG